GACGUAGGGUGCAAGCGUUGUCCGGAUUUAUUGGGCGUAAAGAGCUCGUAGGCGGUCUGUCGCGUCUGCUGUGAAAACCCGCAGCUCAACUGUGGGCUUGCAGCCGAUACGGGCGGGCUGGGAUUCGGUAGGGGAGACUGGAAUUCCUGGUGUAGCGGUGAAAUGCGCAGAUAUCAGGAGGAACACCGGUGGCGAAGGCGGGUCUCUGGGCCGAUAUCGACGCUGAGGAGCGAAAGCGUGGGGAGCGAACAGG
rnacentral:rRNA from 1 species